UAUAAAAAUUGCAUUAAACAGUCUAUUUAUUGGGUUGCAGUUUCAUAGGAAUCAGUGCUGUAUAUUAAUGAUAUUGUUCUCUUCUUGGAGUAAAUAGGAAUUGAGAAUACUUAAUGCACAAUUGAAUGUGGUUUAUGAGAACAAACAGGGAAGAUAAAAAUGCUUGUCAAUGAGAGAGAUAAGAAUCAUAGAAAAUGAAUUGAACUGUACAAAAUGAACCUGGAAAGGUAAAUGAGUUUUUGUACUUGGGAAGUAUGUUGUGAGAGAGAGAGUUACAUUGAUGGUGAGAUUGUGAUAAGAAAAACUGUUAGAUUGAAUGUUGUGGAUGCACUUAGAAAGUAUACUAGAAAUGAGAAUCUGUCACAGAAUUCUACGAUGGCCAUGAAUCAGUGUAUGCUGGUCCUAACAUUGAUAUAUAUGAGUGAGAUCUGUUAUAUAGUAAAAGAAUAAAAAGCAUUUGAGUUCAGUAAAGAUAAGAUACUUGAGAGAUGAAACAGAAAUGAUGCAAUAUGCCUCUGUUUUGAAUAACAAAGAAAAGUAUGAUGUCAUGG
rnacentral:lncRNA from 1 species